AACUAUACCAGAAAUUGACUCUUUUUCUUGAUAUCGAGUCUAAAGGAUGAGAAGAAAAGAUGACUAUAUUUUUUCUUAUUGUUAACGAAUUUACUUAUAUUACUUUACUAUCAUUAGAUAUACAACUUACUAAAUUUAAAAAAAAGUAUAAUAAAAUGUUAGUAUUUCAACAAAUUUAGUGAAGAUACAUGUUGACAUGAUAUCAUAUGGUAUAUGAUCAGUGGCGG
rnacentral:lncRNA from 1 species